AACUUAGAUCCAAAAUAUAAAAAAUAUCCAACAAACAACCAAAUCCAAUGACAAAUAUACAAAAUACAAGUGAAGUUAGAUGCGUUUCUUGUUCUCAACGACAAGAAUCUACCAGGUCGAGCAAGUCUCGUAAAUUUCACGAUUGCGAGCCACGCUUCACGCAACCGUGUUUGCGUACUUGUGUUUCGAGUUGCGUGGUCGUGCGGAGUUAUAUUUACCAAAUUUAAAUAUAAUCCUUUCUUUUCUGAUUCAUAAUAAUAUAUGUCAAUAUGGCUACUGGGUGUAAAAGAUAAAUCUUAUUCUAUCUGUUCUGAGUUUUAGAUAAUUUUAGUUGUAUUUCUUUGUAAUUUUGUGUUGUACAAAUAUUAAUUUAACAUUUUCUCUGGAAGUAUUAAUUUAGAAAGAUAAUAUGCUUCAUUGGUGUUGUGUUUUGAAGUAGUGUGAAAUGCAAAGUAAUUGUGAUAGAGUCAAGAUAAAGUUCACUUUUAAACUGAACUAAAUAAGGUAUCUGAGAGACAACAAUGGUUAAAUGCAAUACAAUGUACAGGUUUUACUAGCGAAAUGAAAAUUUUCCUGUCCUGUCUGCUGUAAUCAUUUUAUAUCUGGAAAACCAGCCGACUUAAUCGAUAAUAACAAUCUCCAGAUUGGGUUCCUUCAAUAAAUAUGGGCUAUCAACACAAUGAAAUAAGUUCCCCAAAAUCUAAAAUGGAGUGGUAUCAAAGGAGAAUUAAAGGAAAAAAUAUUCAUAUUGAAAUUAUUUAUAAGGCACUGGACUGUCUUAAAUUCUACAACAAUACUAGAAUCAGCUGAGAGAAGUGGUCUACAAAAAACCAGGAAGGAAACGGAAUAUGUGGCUACGAAAGGCAAAAGAAAGGUUUACAUAUCAG